CUUUAGCCCCGAUAGUAAUGAAAAUCCUUGUUUGCCGGUCCCGAUGGCUAUCGGGAGGCAAACAAGAUUGCAACGGAUUGCUUCGCCAGUU
rnacentral:sRNA from 1 species